rnacentral:sRNA from 1 species
AGAAGGAGGAAUAUUUGGUCCCUGGUCAGUUUCUGCUUUGGGAACAGAUUGACCCCAAACAUCUGACAUAACCUAUGUAAGUGACAGUGUUGGGUUAGAAUAAAGAAACAAAGACUAUCAUGGCAUUUUUUUAAUAAAGCAAUUGUUACAGUGACCUGUUUUGGAGACUGCCAGAGGUUAGGUGGCAGUUGCCUUCUAGAUCUAGCCACAGGAGAAAAAAUUAAAGAGCCAUACGACUGUGAGGCAGAUCCUCAUCAGGGAGGAGGCACAGUGUCUUUUUAACCACUUUGAAGACCAACAGCCAAGACAUCUUGAGCUAGUUGUGGUGGACAGAGUGUUCCAAACACCUCAGCCACCAGGAAAAGGGAGUGGCCAGGAAGAGGCUGCAGGCUCAAGGGCAGGGAUUCUCCCACCCACCCAAGGAACCUACUGAGCAUCGAACCACUCCAACUUGCCUUGGGAAGAGGACUUGAAUGCUACC